rnacentral:lncRNA from 1 species
AACGACGCGCGUCUGCGUUGGGGAAGACGGCAGUGGUUUCCAUGGAGCCUCCCAGAUCCCGUGCGCCUCCCUCCCCAUCCCUGCCGGCUUCCUUCCCGCGCGCUCUCCUGACUUGCAGACCACGCGUGACCACCAGCGUGGAUGAAGCUCGUGUGGCCGCCGUCGCCGGGGCAGACGGAGCUCGCUCAGCCCCAUCGCUGCCAUGGAUAGAGCCUGUGUGGCCGCCCUCGCCGUCGUAGACUCUUGCUCGCACUGCCGCCAAGCAAGGGCACAGAGGUGGUGGUGGUGCUCGACGAAGCGAAGCGGAGGGGAGCUGGGAACCAGAGACGAUGGCUUACGAGAAGAGGAAGGCCUGCAGCGGAAGCAACAUUAGGAUGAGGUGGUCAGUGCCUACCUCUGCUGCCUUCGUCAGUGCUCAUAUAUCUUUCUACCCCUAUUGCCAAACAUUGACUGCUACAGCGCCUAUUCUUUUCUAUUAUUCAUUUUAGUAGAAGUAUCAGUGCUAAUUUCAGUUUUCACUGAAACUAUUUAAUUCUGUGAAAUUGAUUAAGUGCAUAACCACUAUUUUUUUUUUGCGUGCGGGCAAGAAACUGAUGUGCAUUAUUUUUUUACUGCAUCUGUAGUGCAUGGAUGAAGAUGGCAGCAUCGAUCCUACUGAUCUUCAAGAGCAAGAAAUUAUAGAUGAUUUAGGCGAUCAUCAAGUAGCUGAAAUGCAGUCCCUUGUCUUCAGUUAAUUUAUCAGUCUUUCCUUGCAUGCAAGCGUGAAACUGAAGUGUGAUCCACUUUAAAUAUAGUGUAUCAAGAAAGGCUA